CAAACAGCACGCUUCCUGUAAGUCAAAGAUCCAAGGUUUCAGAGGAAAUUAAAGAGAUUGGUGUUGAUCAAAACUCAGCAAAUAAUGGUGGUUUCCUGAGCCUUAAUGAUAAGUUCAGUGACAAAGAUUCAGAGAAAGUAUUGAUCCAAUUAGAAAAUGGAGAUGAUAGCAGCCAGUCAGGCUCCUUCACUCAUGUUGACAAAGAUGGUGUUGGAUCUCAAUUAGGAGAAGAGGGAGCCACAGGAACAGCUUCUGCCUACAGACCUUCUUCACAUCCCUUGACUGCCCCUUCGCCUCUUUCUGGUCUACCUGAAUUUUCACACUUGGGCUGGGGUCAUUGGUUUACCCUCAGAGAUCUGCAAGUUGCAACAAACCGGUUUUCCAAGGAUAAUAUAAUUGGUGAUGGUGGAUAUGGAGUUGUUUAUCAGGGACAUCUGACGAAUGGUACUCCUGUGGCUGUCAAGAAGCUCCUGAACAAUCCAGGACAAGCUGAUAAGGAUUUUAGAGUUGAAGUAGAGGCUAUUGGUCACGUGAGGCAUAAAAACCUAGUUCGACUUCUUGGAUAUUGCAUUGAAGGAACCCAGAGGUUGCUGGUAUAUGAGUAUGUGAAUAAUGGCAAUUUAGAGCAAUGGCUCCAUGGGGCCAUGCGCCAGCAUGGUUAUCUUACUUGGGAGGCUCGCAUGAAAAUUCUACUUGGCACUGCUAAGGCGCUGGCUUAUUUGCACGAGGCCAUUGAGCCAAAGGUGGUGCACCGUGACAUAAAAUCAAGCAACAUAUUAAUUGAUGACAACUUUGAAGCUAAAAUAUCUGAUUUUGGUCUGGCCAAAUUGCUGGGUGCUGGAAAAAGUCAUAUCACGACUAGAGUAAUGGGUACAUUUGGUUACGUGGCUCCAGAAUAUGCAAAUUCUGGUCUUCUGAAUGAGAAGAGUAGUGACGUUUAUAGCUUUGGAGUUGUGCUCUUGGAAGCAAUUACUGGAAGAGAUCCAGUGGAUUACAGUCGUCCUGAGAAUGAGGUAAAUCUGGUGGAGUGGUUGAAGAUGAUGGUUGCAAGAAGGCGUUCAGAAGAGGUUGUAGACCCAAUGAUUGAGACAAGGCCUUCAACAAGUGCUCUUAAACGAGCUCUUCUAACUGCUUUAAGAUGCGUUGAUCCAGAUUCUGAAAAAAGACCAAAGAUGAGUCAAGUAGUUCGCAUGCUUGAAUCAGAGGAAUAUCCUAUACCGAGAGAGGAUCGAAGACACAGAAGGAGCCAGGCUGGGGUCACUGAGACCAAGUCUCUAAAGGAGAAUUCAGAUACUGACAGGAAAGACAAUCCAGAUUCGAAGACAGAUGGUCAACAGAGCCAUCGAGCAUAGGCAUGGGAAUUGUUUGUAAAUCUGAAUAUAUGCACAAUGGUAAAGCACACAUUCUUUAGACCUUCCAAAAUCUUGGCAUGUCUUGUCUGACAAUUGUGGUUGAGGAGAGGGAGCUAAGCCAAAGCACUGGAGGGUUUGGAUAUUCUGGAUGGUUUCUCUUUUAAAAAUUUUAGUAUUUACUUACAGACGGUGUAGAGAAGAUUAGUUUGUCUGAAAGUUGCAUUGUCAAAGGACACCCUUGCCAGGAGUGGUGUGUACAGAUCUUGGUGAUUUUGGUUUCAAUUUUGGUUUUUAAAAUAUAUAUAUAUUUCCCUCAAAAAAAAAAAA
rnacentral:misc_RNA from 1 species